UCGAUUUACUCUUUUAUGCAA
rnacentral:piRNA from 1 species